AAAUUGAAGAGUUUGAUCAUGGCUCAGAUUGAACGCUGGCGGCAGGCCUAACACAUGCAAGUCGAACGGUAACAGGAAACAGCUUGCUGUUUCGCUGACGAGUGGCGGACGGGUGAGGAAUGUCUGGGAAACUGCCUGAUGGAGGGGGGUAACUACCGGAAACGGUAGCUAAUACCGCAUAACGUCGGCAGACCAAAGAGGGGGGC
rnacentral:rRNA from 1 species